ACUCCUACGGGAGGCAGCAGUGGGGAAUAUUGCACAAUGGGCGCAAGCCUGAUGCAGCGACGCCGCGUGAGGGAUGGAGGCCUUCGGGUUGUAAACCUCUUUCGCCAGUGAAGCAGGCCUGUCCCUUUUGUGGGUGGGUUGACGGUAGCUGGAUAAGAAGCGCCGGCUAACUACGUGCCAGCAGCCGCGGUAAUACGUAGGGCGCGAGCGUUGUCCGGAAUUAUUGGGCGUAAAGAGCUCGUAGGCGGCUGGUCGCGUCUGUCGUGAAAUCCUCUGGCUUAAACUGGGGGCUUGCGGUGGGUACGGGCCGGCUUGAGUGCGGUAGGGGAGACUGGAACUCCUGGUGUAGCGGUGGAAUGCGCAGAUAUCAGGAAGAACACCGGUGGCGAAGGCGGGUCUCUGGGCCGUUACUGACGCUGAGGAGCGAAAGCGUGGGGGAGCGAACAGGAUUAGAUACCCUGGUAGCUACGAGU
rnacentral:rRNA from 1 species